rnacentral:lncRNA from 1 species
AGUUUGUAAAGCAGGAGGAAGGACGCAAAGCGAAGACACAAAGCGGGGAACAAAGGCUGAUGAGUCUAUGAUUGGUGAUCUACACCUUUGUAACCCAAGUUUGUUCUGAUGUCUGCCAUCAUUCCAGCUGACUCUCACAGUGGUGAACUUUAUAACAGCUGUCAGAAUGGGAACCAGAACUAUUACCUCAGUGAAAGCCAAGACAUUUUCAUUGUUCAAUUAACCAAUGCGAAUCAUGUGACACUUGCUGAGAGUGCAUGUUCAUUCAGCAGACAGUUGGUAAAGGACAAAAAGCAAGGAAGGAAGGCUUGAGGGCAGAGACUCAUUAUUUCUGUGCAUGGAAACUGAAAUGAUGAUGGUCCUUGUAUAGAGAUCCAGACACUUCGUUCCCAAGGUGAUGUGAAAUGGUGCGAAGUGUUGUGUAUGUCUUCUGCCUUCACUCUACUAGACCACUACUGCAUGGAUCUUCAGUAUCUUCAGUUAGAACUGUGAUGACACUGAGGAAAUAUUUUACAAUCUUCACCAUGGUUAUGGUUGAAUUGUAAUUACAAUAUAGCAAUUGCUGUGCUGUGUGAAGUCUGCAUGUAUGUGUUUCUAAGAAAGUGACAAUGAUGAGAGUGGUUGUAUUCCAAUGGCUGUAAGCAUGAAAUCACCUGGCCUUGUGUGGAAGACCAACCAGAUGUAUACCUCUAAUUUAAACUCCUGAAAAUCCCCAUGGUUGUUGGUGGUGCAGACAGAAUGUGAGCAAGGAAGUACCUCUGUAAAAGCCCAGGCGUUCCAUAUGUAGGAGUACCUUCAUUCUUCAAAUCUGUACAAGAGAUCUAUGUGAGGAUGAAAGCCAAGAUAAUACAAGAUUCAACACAUAUCAAUCCAACUGAAGACAAAUAUCCAUUGAUGCAGUUGCAUCUUAGCUAAGAAGUUAACUUGGAUCUGCUUCACAGGGAGUCAUUGAUGAUCAACUAAGUAGUAGGAUACAGUUUUCUGAUCAGGUGAAAUCGCUUUAUCUUAUCUGGCUGGAAUUUAAAGAGCUGAGACUACCAUCAGGAAAAUCUACCAUGUAAUAACACUAACCCAGAACAUUGCUACUGAGUCUACCACACAGUAAUGCUGACUAGGACAUUGCUAUUAUGAGUUUCCAUGCAGUUACACUGACCUGAGUAGUCUACACAGGAAAAACACACAGUAACAUUGACUUGGGAUGUUGCCAUCGAGUCUUCCACACUGUAAUACUGACCCCAAAGUGUAGCUUUUCUAUGGAAAAUUCAGACAGAUAACUUGAAGUUAUCUAUCAAUAGGCGCAAUAAACUAUUAUCUGUUUAUGUUAACACUCCUGAUACUGAAGGCUGGACUCUGCUGAACACUGGAAAAAGGCAGAGAUAAACAUGCAACUCACUGUGUGUGACAUAUUUGCAAAAAAAUUCAAAUGUGGCCGUGAUAUAUAAACAUUAAAAUUAUUUUAAGUAACAUUCAAGUAAUGUUCGAAGGUGGUAGUGAAAACAUGCUGAAUGUGACAUCAAAGUUCAGAGGACUGGGAAAGAAAGUUAUACUUACUAGUAAAAAUCUAUAAGAUUAGAUAUUAAAACAAUGCUCAAAAAUGACAGUAGGUGCAGUAAAAUGUGGAUAAUGUGUUUUGAUUGAUAAUGUCAAAUAGUAAAGUGUAACUGAUUGUU